rnacentral:lncRNA from 1 species
GCAGGUAGGAUGUGCCAGACAGGGUAGAGAGCAAAGGCAAGAGGACCUCAGAUCUGCAAAUCCGGAUGACUAUGGUCCUUCCCUCCCGGGAAAAGUGAGCAUGAGUCACACUGAAAAGCUCCUGCCUGGAGGAAACUGCAGAUUCCAUUGCUGUGAGGCCAGUUGUUUCCUUGCAAAGUGACAAACGAGGAGAUGGAAUUGGAAGAGAACACUGGACAGGGUUGAAGAAGGA